CCUACGGUGGGCAGCAGUGAGGAAUAUUGGUCAAUGGCCGGAAGGCUGAACCAGCCAAGCCGCGUGAAGGACGAAGGUGCCAAGCAUUGUAAACUUCUUUUGUCAAGGGACAAAAUCAGGCUCGAGAGCCUGACCGAGGGUACUUGAAGAAAAAGCAUCGGCUAACUCCGUGCCAGCAGCCGCGGUAAUACGGAGGAUGCGAGCGUUAUCCGGAUUUAUUGGGUUUAAAGGGUGCGUAGGCGGACUGUUAAGUCAGCGGUAAAAGCCCGGGGCUCAACCCCGGCGAGCCGUUGAAACUGGCGUUCUUGAGUGGGCGAGAAGUAUGCGGAAUGCGUGGUGUAGCGGUGAAAUGCAUAGAUAUCACGCAGAACUCCGAUUGCGAAGGCAGCAUACCGGCGCCCUACUGACGCUGAGGCACGAAAGCGUGGGUAUCGAACAGGAUUAGAUACCCUUGUAGUC
rnacentral:rRNA from 1 species